GGGUUGUGAGGUUAAGCGACUAAGCGUACACGGUGGAUGCCCUGGCAGUCAGAGGCGAUGAAGGACGUGCUAAUCUGCGAUAAGCGUCGGUAAGGUGAUAUGAACCGUUAUAACCGGCGAUUUCCGAAUGGGGAAACCCAGUGUGAUUCGUCACACUAUCAUUAACUGAAUCCAUAGGUUAAUGAGGCGAACCGGGGGAACUGAAACAUCUAAGUACCCCGAGGAAAAGAAAUCAACCGAGAUUCCCCCAGUAGCGGCGAGCGAACGGGGAGCAGCCCAGAGCCUGAAUCAGUGUGUGUGUUAGUGGAAGCGUCUGGAAAGGCGUGCGAUACAGGGUGACAGCCCCGUACACAAAAAUGCACAUACUGUGAGCUCGAUGAGUAGGGCGGGACACGUGGUAUCCUGUCUGAAUAUGGGGGGGCCAUCCUCCAAGGCUAAAUACUCCUGACUGACCGAUAGUGAACCAGUACCGUGAGGGAAAGGCGAAAAGAACCCCGGCGAGGGGAGUGAAAAAGAACCUGAAACCGUGUACGUACAAGCAGUGGGAGCACGCUUAGGCGUGUGACUGCGUACCUUUUGUAUAAUGGGUCAGCGACUUAUAUUCUGUAGCAAGGUUAACCGAAUAGGGGAGCCGAAGGGAAACCGAGUCUUAACUGGGCGUUAAGUUGCAGGGUAUAGACCCGAAACCCGGUGAUCUAGCCAUGGGCAGGUUGAAGGUUGGGUAACACUAACUGGAGGACCGAACCGACUAAUGUUGAAAAAUUAGCGGAUGACUUGUGGCUGGGGGUGAAAGGCCAAUCAAACCGGGAGAUAGCUGGUUCUCCCCGAAAGCUAUUUAGGUAGCGCCUCGUGAAUUCAUCUCCGGGGGUAGAGCACUGUUUCGGCAAGGGGGUCAUCCCGACUUACCAACCCGAUGCAAACUGCGAAUACCGGAGAAUGUUAUCACGGGAGACACACGGCGGGUGCUAACGUCCGUCGUGAAGAGGGAAACAACCCAGACCGCCAGCUAAGGUCCCAAAGUCAUGGUUAAGUGGGAAACGAUGUGGGAAGGCCCAGACAGCCAGGAUGUUGGCUUAGAAGCAGCCAUCAUUUAAAGAAAGCGUAAUAGCUCACUGGUCGAGUCGGCCUGCGCGGAAGAUGUAACGGGGCUAAACCAUGCACCGAAGCUGCGGCAGCGACGCUUAUGCGUUGUUGGGUAGGGGAGCGUUCUGUAAGCCUGUGAAGGUGUGCUGUGAGGUAUGCUGGAGGUAUCAGAAGUGCGAAUGCUGACAUAAGUAACGAUAAAGCGGGUGAAAAGCCCGCUCGCCGGAAGACCAAGGGUUCCUGUCCAACGUUAAUCGGGGCAGGGUGAGUCGACCCCUAAGGCGAGGCCGAAAGGCGUAGUCGAUGGGAAACAGGUUAAUAUUCCUGUACUUGGUGUUACUGCGAAGGGGGGACGGAGAAGGCUAUGUUGGCCGGGCGACGGUUGUCCCGGUUUAAGCGUGUAGGCUGGUUUUCCAGGCAAAUCCGGAAAAUCAAGGCCGAGGCGUGAUGACGAGGCACUACGGUGCUGAAGCAACAAAUGCCCUGCUUCCAGGAAAAGCCUCUAAGCAUCAGGUAACAUCAAAUCGUACCCCAAACCGACACAGGUGGUCAGGUAGAGAAUACCAAGGCGCUUGAGAGAACUCGGGUGAAGGAACUAGGCAAAAUGGUGCCGUAACUUCGGGAGAAGGCACGCUGAUACGUAGGUGAAGCGACUUGCUCGUGGAGCUGAAAUCAGUCGAAGAUACCAGCUGGCUGCAACUGUUUAUUAAAAACACAGCACUGUGCAAACACGAAAGUGGACGUAUACGGUGUGACGCCUGCCCGGUGCCGGAAGGUUAAUUGAUGGGGUUAGCGCAAGCGAAGCUCUUGAUCGAAGCCCCGGUAAACGGCGGCCGUAACUAUAACGGUCCUAAGGUAGCGAAAUUCCUUGUCGGGUAAGUUCCGACCUGCACGAAUGGCGUAAUGAUGGCCAGGCUGUCUCCACCCGAGACUCAGUGAAAUUGAACUCGCUGUGAAGAUGCAGUGUACCCGCGGCAAGACGGAAAGACCCCGUGAACCUUUACUAUAGCUUGACACUGAACAUUGAGCCUUGAUGUGUAGGAUAGGUGGGAGGCUUUGAAGUGUGGACGCCAGUCUGCAUGGAGCCGACCUUGAAAUACCACCCUUUAAUGUUUGAUGUUCUAACGUGGACCCGUGAUCCGGGUUGCGGACAGUGUCUGGUGGGUAGUUUGACUGGGGCGGUCUCCUCCUAAAGAGUAACGGAGGAGCACGAAGGUUGGCUAAUCCUGGUCGGACAUCAGGAGGUUAGUGCAAUGGCAUAAGCCAGCUUGACUGCGAGCGUGACGGCGCGAGCAGGUGCGAAAGCAGGUCAUAGUGAUCCGGUGGUUCUGAAUGGAAGGGCCAUCGCUCAACGGAUAAAAGGUACUCCGGGGAUAACAGGCUGAUACCGCCCAAGAGUUCAUAUCGACGGCGGUGUUUGGCACCUCGAUGUCGGCUCAUCACAUCCUGGGGCUGAAGUAGGUCCCAAGGGUAUGGCUGUUCGCCAUUUAAAGUGGUACGCGAGCUGGGUUUAGAACGUCGUGAGACAGUUCGGUCCCUAUCUGCCGUGGGCGCUGGAGAACUGAGGGGGGCUGCUCCUAGUACGAGAGGACCGGAGUGGACGCAUCACUGGUGUUCGGGUUGUCAUGCCAAUGGCACUGCCCGGUAGCUAAAUGCGGAAGAGAUAAGUGCUGAAAGCAUCUAAGCACGAAACUUGCCCCGAGAUGAGUUCUCCCUGACCCUUUAAGGGUCCUGAAGGAACGUUGAAGACGACGACGUUGAUAGGCCGGGUGUGUAAGCGCAGCGAUGCGUUGAGCUAACCGGUACUAAUGAACCGUGAGGCUUAACCUUACAACGCCGAAG
rnacentral:rRNA from 2 species